UAAUGUUUGUGUUUGGUAGUACAUAUGGGCUAGGAAGAAAUGAGACGUUAGCUGUUUGUAUUGAUCUUUUGGAGGACACUGCUGGUUUGAAUUCAUGAUUUGAAUUGGCGCAGCUUCUGGGCAGGUCGACCUUCAAAGAAGAGCUAGUGCACAAAGGGCAUGACGAUGUAACAUCCAUAUGCUGAUUUGAAUAAAUUGGGCUGAUUGGCUUCUGGAAACUUUUUUGAAGGCCCAAGCAUAUCCAGGAGAAUAAAGCCUUAAUGUCCAGCUGUCUUUUAUACCUACCAAGUGCUUGAGAAAGACUCCCCUGGUUGGUGAGCCAUGAGAGAACAAGAACUCAAACGUUUAUAUGGUGGGAAAAUAAAUUUAUACAACUAUUUUGAUAAGCAACUUGGCAAUACCUAGAAGGAUUGAAGAUUUGCACAUACCCAAAGUUUCAAAACCCCCUGCCUGCUGUUCGUCUAUCCUACAGAAACUCUAGCAGGAAAAGAUUAUUAAUCUCAGAUCAAGGGAUAUGUACAAAACACCAUGGACUAUGGGAAGUAAAGAAUGUCUCACACAUGGCUACUCAAUAGGCUAUAUUUUGAAAGAAUGAGACCUGACCUGAUGAUGAGCAUUGCUUUCUUGCAAAUGGAGUUUCAAGCAUAAAACUGAAAGGAGCUUAAUACCCUCCAGUUCCAUCCACAUUGAUGUAAAUGUAAAGUCUAUGUUCAAAGUGGGACUCGAACUCAUGACCAAGAUGAAGAAUCAUGCUCUACUGACUGAGCCAGCCAAUCAUCACAAAAAGUGGAAAUUGUUGACAGCAUAUAUUGAUUUUUUUUAAAAUGUAAAUUUAAUACAUAUUGCAUUAUUAGUAUUAUAAUUUUGAACACAGGGCAUUUUAAAUUUAUCUAUACUGAGAUUUCAUUCACAUCAAUAAUUUGGGGAGAUUUUAAGGAUUUUUAAUUUUUUUAUAAACACUUUCUAUAGAGGUCCAGUGUGCACACAUAUUUGGUAUGUUUUUAGUGGAUCCCUACUGAGCAAAAUAUUUUAAUUAAUUAAUUAAUUAAUUAAUUAAUGUUUUAAUGUUUUAAUAUUUUAUUUAUUUACUCAUGAGAGAUACACAGAUGAGACAGAGACACAGGCA